rnacentral:rRNA from 1 species
CGGCCGCUAAUACCCCAUAUGCCGAGAGGUGAAAUGAAAUUCGCCUGAGGAUGAGCUCGCGUCUGAUUAGCUAGUUGGUGGGGUAAGAGCCUACCAAGGCGUCGAUCAGUAGCUGGUCUGAGAGGGUGAUCAGCCACACUGGGACUGAGACACGGCCCAGACUCCUACGGGAGGCAGCAGUGGGGAAUUUUCCGCAAUGGGCGAAAGCCUGACGGAGCAACGCCGCGUGAGGGAUGAAGGCCUCUGGGCUGUAAACCUCUUUUAUCAAGGAAGAAGAUCUGACGGUACUUGAUGAAUAAGCCACGGCUAAUUCCGUGCCAGCAGCCGCGGUAAUACGGGAGUGGCAAGCGUUAUCCGGAAUUAUUGGGCGUAAAGCGUCCGCAGGCGGCCUUGUAAGUCUGUCGUCAAAGCGUGGAGCUUAACUCCAUUUAAGCGAUGGAAACUGCAAGGCUAGAGUGUGGUAGGGGCAGAGGGAAUUCCCGGUGUAGCGGUGAAAUGCGUAAAUAUCGGGAAGAACACCAGUGGCGAAGGCGCUCUGCUGGGCCAUAACUGACGCUCAUGGACGAAAGCCAGGGGAGCGAAAGGGAUUAGAUACCCCUGUA